GACGAACCGUGCGAACGUUGUUCGGAAUCACUGGGCUUAAAGGGCGCGUAGGCGGCUUACCAAGUCCGGGGUGAAAGCUUUCGGCUUAACCGGAAAAGUGCCUUGGAUACUGGUAAGCUUGAGGGAGGUAGGGGCAUGCGGAACUUCCGGUGGAGCGGUGAAAUGCGUUGAUAUCGGAAGGAACGCCGGUGGCGAAAGCGGCGUGCUGGACCUCUUCUGACGCUGAGGCGCGAAAGCUAGGGGAGCGAACGGG
rnacentral:rRNA from 1 species